GACGAACGCUGGCGGCGUGCUUAACACAUGCAAGUCGAACGGAAAGGCCCUGCUCUUGUGGGGUUCUCGAGUGGCGAGCGGGUGUGUAACACGUGAGUAACCUGCCCUUGACUUUGGUAUAACUUCAGGAAACUGGGGCUAAUACCGGAUAGGAUCUCCUUCUGCAUGGUGGGGUGUGGAGAGUUUCGGCGGUUGGGGAUGGACUCGCGGCUUAUCAGCUUGUUGGUGGGGUAGUGGUUUCCCAAGGUUUUGACGGGUAGCCGGCCUGAGAGGGUGACCGGCCAAAUUGGGACUGAGAUAGGGCCCAGACUCCGAGGGGAGGCAGCAGUGGGGAAUAUUGCACAACGGGCGGAAGCCUGAUGCAGCACCGCCGCGUGCGGGAUGACGGCCUUCGGGUUGUAAACCGCUUUCGCCUGUGACGAAGCGUGAGUGACGGUAAUGGGUAAAGAAGCACCGGCUAACUACGUG
rnacentral:rRNA from 1 species